ACCUACGGGAGGCAGCAGUGAGGAAUAUUGCGCAAUGGACGAAAGUCUGACGCAGCGACGCCGCGUGGGCGAUGAAGGCCUUCGGGUCGUAAAGCCCUUUUGGCAGGGACGAGUGAGGACGGUACCUGUCGAAUAAGUCUCGGCUAACUACGUGCCAGCAGCCGCGGUAAAACGUAGGAGGCGAGCGUUAUCCGGAUUCACUGGGCGUAAAGCGUGCGUAGGCGGUUGGGUAAGUCGGACGUUAAAGCCCCUGGCUCAACUAGGGGAGGUCGUUCGAUACUGCUUGGCUUGAGGAUGAGAGAGGAAAGCGGAAUUCCCGGUGUAGCGGUGGAAUGCGUAGAGAUCGGGAGGAACACCAGUGGCGAAAGCGGCUUUCUGGCUCAUUUCUGACGCUGAGUGCACGAAAGCGUGGGGAGCAAACGGGAUUAGAUACCCCGGUAGC
rnacentral:rRNA from 1 species